rnacentral:rRNA from 1 species
GAGUGGCAAACGGGUGAGUAACGCGUAGACAACCUGCCGUAUGCUGGGGGACAACAGUUGGAAACGACUGCUAAUACCGCAUAAGCGCGCAGUUUCGCAUGAAACGGUGUGAAAAACUCCGGUGGCAUACGAUGGACCCGCGUCUGAUUAGCUAGUUGGUGAGGUAACGGCCCACCAAGGCGACGAUCAGUAGCCGGCCUGAGAGGGUGAACGGCCACAUUGGGACUGAGACACGGCCCAAACUCCUACGGGAGGCAGCAGUGGGGAAUAUUGCACAAUGGGGGAAACCCUGAUGCAGCGACGCCGCGUGAGUGAAGAAGUAUUUCGGUAUGUAAAGCUCUAUCGGCAGGGAAGAAAAUGACGGUACCUGACUAAGAAGCCCCGGCUAACUACGUGCCAGCAGCCGCGGUAAUACGUAGGGGGCAAGCGUUAUCCGGAUUUACUGGGUGUAAAGGGAGCGUAGACGGUCGUCCAAGUCUGAAGUGAAAGCCCGGGGCUCAACCCCGGAACUGCUUUGGAAACUGGGCAACUAGAGUGCAGGAGAGGUAAGUGGAAUUCCUAGUGUAGCGGUGAAAUGCGUAGAUAUUAGGAGGAACACCAGUGGCGAAGGCGGCUUACUGGACUGUAACUGACGUUGAGGCUCGAAAGCGUGGGGAGCAAACAGGAUUAGAUACCCUGGUAGUCCACGCCGUAAACGUUGAUUACUAGGUGUCGGGGAGUUAAACUCUUCGGUGCCGCAGCAAACGCAAUAAGUAAUCCACC